ensembl:lncRNA
UAGAGAGAGAGGGAGAGAGAGGUGUAGAGAGAGAGGGAGAAAGAGAGAGGUGUAGAGAGAGAGAGAGGUGUAGAGAGAGAGAGAGGUGUAGAGAGAGAGGGAGAGAGAGAGAGAGGGAGAGAGAGAGGUGUAGAGAGAGAGGGAGAGAGAGAGAUGGCUGUCGUAAAUAAUGUGUAACCGUAAUUCUGGCCAUCUGUCUACAGCAACCAUCAUCACUCAUCGCUCCUUGGAGCUAAUGUAGCCUACUUAACACACUGACUGAUGCUAGGAGACUGUGUGUCAGACCUGGGUUCAAAUAGUAGUUUUAAUAUUUUAAAUACUUUGUGUGUAUGCAAGAGCCAGACUUUGGUGUAUAAAGUGGGAUUUGCACUUUUGGGACUAUUUCAUUGGUUCCAUUGCACCAGGGAAGCUCAAUCAUGCCCAGCUAAAGUAUUUUAAAUUAUUUCAAAUUCCAUUUGAACUGAGGUCUGGUGUGUGUAUGGAGUAAAUUGGCUCAGUUAACUUAUGCAAAGAGUGUCUAUGUCUAAAAUGGCACCAUAUUCCCUAUGUAGCACACUACUUUUGACCAGGGCCCAUAGUUACCAAUACACAUUUAGAAAAAAAGUUCCCAAAGGGUUCUUUGGCUGUCCCCAUAGGAGAUCCCUUUUUGAAAUGAUGUGUACUUCUUGCAAUCACCUUUUCAUGUUUAUUCAAAUAAUUUUCGUUCAAAUCCAUAUAGUUUGAUUUUAAUAGUUCAAAACCAAAUGGUAGGUCCAGGUAGUCACACAAAAAAUCCAUGGGUGUUGGUUAAAUUGUAUUUUAAUGAAUGGAGCGAAUUUUUUCCCCUGUGAGCGCGGCGCGGUUUUUAGCAGAGCGUUGGAAAGGACAUGUGCGCCGUAUUUUGUAUGUUGUUUGUUCUAUACAAGAGCAAUGUACUGUUG